UAAUCUUCAACGACCUUGAUCUUAAUAAAUAUUAUCCAGGACAUGAUUCUGAACAACAUUCAGGAGAUUUUAGCCGUUGAUUGGACACAUUAGAUACUGCUAAUGUCGACUGCAACUUCCAAGCUUUAUAACUUGAAAAGUAUUUAAUGAAAAAUAACUUUAUUAUAGAAAAGCUCUUGAUACCAGCUAUUAGACUGCGACAUAAAAAAUAGGAUGUUCAAUUUAAAAAAAAAUCGGUUUGACCUUGACCUAACCUUCGCGAGAUCACUCAAAGUCAAACGGAUGUGAUCAGUGAAUAGACCUUUUUAGAUUAUACAACUUUUGUUGGAAAUAUUAUUCUCAAAAAAUGCUUCGCUUUCGAGAUAUUCGACCGUUUCCAGACUUUUGAUAUAUAAUACUUUGUACUCGUAUAUUACACGAUUCUUAACUCUCACUUUUUUCCUUACAUAAAAACAUUGUCUGUGCGAAGUGGAUGCGCAGAAUAAAAUCCUCACAUGCAGGAAAGAGAUGUCAACAGAUCAGAUUACGAUGCGAGUUACGUGGGACAAACAGGAAAAUAGCUGAAGACGAGAACAGCUGAGCACAGGAAUCAUAUUUGGUGGAACAUAAUCACGUAUUCGAUCAUAAGUGACUACCGAUUGGAAGAAGACCACGAGUUCGAUUGGGAAAAUAUUGCAGUUUUGGAUGAGGAACCCCAAAACAGAAAGAUUGGUGUCAGAGAUGCUACACAUCAGGAGACAGACACGUAGCCUCAAUCUGCAGACAGACUUGGAAGGGCUUUCCUAAGGCGUAUUCUCCAAUUGUAGACGGACUAUAAAUAUCGGAGCGUUGUUAUUACCAGCUAAUCAGUGUACAUUCUUUGUUACAUUAAGAUUAAAUUAUUAAAGAUUCAA